ACCUCCGCGUAUCUUAUAAUUUAUAACUAAAUAAAACACUUAAAUACACCCUCACCUCAAGACAAAAAUUAGUACUUAAAAGGAAUAUAUAAAUAUAUUUAAGUAGCAGUAAACUAGCGUACCUUGUGCAUUAUGGUUUUACAAGAUCAACAUUAAAUAUAAAUCCCGAAUUCUGAAGGAGCUGCUUUUUCAUAGCUAAGAGCUCACUACUAGUUGUGGCAUUAACUUUAGAAAAUGUAAAAGCAGAGGCUACAUACCACCCGCGUCAGAAAAUUGCUGGUUCUUAGCUAAACUUAUAUAUUAAACCAUGCAGAUAAACUGCAGUGUAAAAUUUCAGAGGAUAAGCCCUGAAACCAAAUCAAAAAUACUUCAUAAAUAAAUAUAAUAGGCCUAAAAUCAGCCACCCUAAUUACCUUACCGUAAAUCAUAUAUAAUAUUAUUUCCCCUGUUCAUAAAAGCUAAGAUCUAAGAAAAAUUAGUAUCCUUAUAAUAUUAUGUAAAAAUAAGUAUUAAAAUUAAUAAUUCAUAUUAAAAUCAAAUAAACACCUACAAAGGAACUCGGCAAAUUACAAUUUCGAC
rnacentral:rRNA from 1 species